ensembl:snoRNA small nucleolar RNA SNORA5
UGCAGCCUCGUCAAAUUCAGUGCAUCCUCCCUUGUGGGUGUCACUGGCCCAAAGGGCUGCCACAGCCACUGUGUAGCUCAUGGGCCCCACGGAGCCGGUUAGUGGCCCCUGGGGAUAAAUUGCGCUACGUACAAAC